rnacentral:lncRNA from 1 species
CAGAGGUGUGUGGAGCACGUCUGGGGGACAGGCAGGGUGAGCGGAGAAGGAGGGAGAGAGGCGGAACAGAACAGUCUGCAUCUGGGAGGACGUGUGUGCGUGUGCGUGCGUGUGUGUGCGUGUGUGUGUGUGUGUAAGGGAGCGAGAGAGAACAUGCGAGAAUAUGUCUGAGAGGGAAUGUGUCUGGGAGGAUGUGCAGCUGAGAAGUGUGUGUGAUUGACAGG